rnacentral:lncRNA from 1 species
CUAUAUUAUAAUAUAUACAAUAUAUAUACAUGUAAAUACAAUAUCUGUAUUAUUUUUAUAUUCACAGAAGAUUUGAAACGUUAUUUUUUUUUAUUUUUUUUUUUUUAAAGCUUCGCGCGCGCGUUUACAGAUUUUACCGAUUUCGGUACCUACUAUCUAUAUUCACACUGUUGCGCUUAAAAAUGGUAUGCAAAUACAAAAUCAGAUUAAUAAUUAAAAACUAUAAUAUUAUACAGUAUACAAAUAAUAUUGAUGUAAAACACGGUUAAGGUAUAUAGAAAGUGCUUAACGUGUGUGUUUAAUACGUAUACGCCGCGCAACGAUUGUUAUAUUAUUUUUUACAAUUUAUCUACAUAAAAAAUGUACAGUGUUAAAAGAAAUAUAAUUAUUUUUUACAAUAUAUUACUUUUACGGAUUUUAUAUAAAUGCUCGUAAUAUAUUCAUAUAAAAAGUUUGAUCGGAAAAGUGUGAAAUAAAGGUAAAAAAAAACGGCUUUCAAAAGUUUUAAAUCUCACUGGGGUGUUAUUGUUUUGUUUAUUGUCAGUCGGCGAUGGAUAGGGGGUGGGAAGUAACCAAUAAUAAUAACAAUUUUUAAAGAGUUGAAAAAAAAACUGUGGGAAUAUUGCCUACAUAACGCCGAACAGUCGGAAGGAAUAAAUAAUAAAACGUAGUUAUAUUUACAAAAACAGAUUGAGAUAUUUUGAUUUUUCGAGGGAUAAAAUACACGUGACUGUUUUGAAUUUUCGAAUGUAGCCGCCGAUGGCUUUAACCAAAAAAAAAAAAAUAAUAAUAAUAAUAAAAAAGAAGCUUCGGUUGAGUGAAAAUUAAAUUCUGAAAACAGAUUAGAAUUCAGCAUAUCAGCUUUUUUGAAUUUCAGUACUUAAUUUUCGAAAGUUAGAUUGAAAUUUGAUCUGAAAUUAAAUUGAAAAAAAAAUAAAUAAUAAUUGUCCGACAUACACUUCACGACGAAUUUAAAUUUUCGUUUAGUAUUCUUAUCGCUCUGUUACAUCAAUUUCGGUCUCUGAUUGAAAGAAAAUUGGUAAAAAUUUGAUACACUGCGUUUAUGUUUAGAUGAAAUACGAAAAUAUUUGUAUCCAAUUCCCAAAAGGGGACGCCACACUCGCACAGAACAUAAAUUGUCUCGUGUAUGUGGAAACUGGAGUUUAAAGACAAACGAUAUAAUUUAACUUUUUUAUGUACACACCGUCAUACUAAAAAGUUUUAGAGCCACGUAAGGUUUUGCUUUUUUUUUUUCAAUCUGCAAUUAUAUACAUACGUAUAAAGCCCUUGAGAAUAUUCCCCUCUUAAAAUUUUGUUAUUUGGUGAUGUUCAAACUUACAUUCCAACCUAAACGCUACAGUUGACGUUACAAGUAGGUAUAUCGUUAUUUUUUGGACGUGACGUCCUCUUAUAACGUAAAAUCGACAUUUACAUUAAAAAUUUUAAAAAAAAACCCUCAUCCGCAUAAAAAUUCCCCGUAACAGGUACACGAGUAUUCGUGUUCUGGAAAUUUAUAAUAUAUUGACAAUUGAAUGCCAAUAGACGGUAGUUAAAACGGCAUCGUUUCCAUUUAUGAUAGGUGCAGACCCAUAUGGGAAAUAUACAAAGGUUUUAAAUCGCAUUGUAGAAUUCAAUUUUGUACAUGAUAUUACAACGGCGUGACUUAUGUACAUUUAUACGUGCGAAAAAACAAUAGAUUUUUGUCCAAGAAAGGCUAAAGUAAAUUCCGUAUAGUAUUGAACACGGGAAAAGCAAAUGUUAAAAAUCGCUAAAUUACAUAAUUAUUGUUGAAUGACUAAAUUGUUAAACAGCCCGAGCCACACGGUUAUAAUAUAAUGACUUACGCCAAAAUAAAACAAAGCGACAGGGAGAUUUUUUUUGAUUUUCAGGAUAACACGUGUUUAGAUUAUAUACAUUAUAUUAUACCGAUCUUAUACGAAAAUAUAAAAAAAUAAAAAAAAAAAAAACAUCAAAAAUUGACUUCUUCCCCGGGACGACCGAACAAUAUAUUAUUUAUAGGCGUUGAACACAGCGCAAAAAAAAAACACACACGAGCUAUAUUAAUAUAACCGUCGGAGCGAGAACAAAAACAAUAGGUUAUAUCAGUAAUAUAAAUAAUAAUAAUAAUAAUAAUAAUAAUAGUAAUAAUGAUAAUUAUUUUUAAAAAAAA